AUUUUAUUAACGUAUGUAUUAUAGUAUUUAAUUCUAUCCAUAUAAACUUACAUAUUUGCAAGGAAUCGUCCCAUAAUGUAAUUCAAAAGAUGCGAUAUCGAUAUCGAUCGAAGAUUCCGCGACAAGAAAUCAUCAUUUUCGUAAUAAUGGCGGAUGUGUGAACAGUGCACACGGGUAUCGUCGUCGGCGAAUGCGAUUUUUAUGCAUCUUUUGUUGCCGAAACAGAUAGUUGGCGUAGCGAGUCGGAGAUGCUUCGUUGUAUUGCGUAAGAAAUCAACGCUAGCCCUCACCGUGCACGGGCCCUGCAUCCAGGGUUCGCCAUCGAUCUGCAUGGGGAAUCGCUUACUCGUGGUGAUAGUGACGCUACUGCACUG